rnacentral:rRNA from 1 species
UACGUAGGGACCGAGCGUUGUCCGGAAUCAUUGGGCGUAAAGGGCGCGUAGGCGGCUCAUGAAGGCUGUGGUGAAAGUCCGGGGCUCAACCUCGGAUCGGCCGUGGCGACUCGUGGGCUGGAGCACUGUAGAGGCGGGUGGAAUUCCGGGUGUAGCGGUGGAAUGCGUAGAGAUCCGGAAGAACACCAGUGGCGAAGGCGGCCCGCUGGGCAGUGGCUGACGCUGAGGCGCGACAGCGUGGGGAGCAAACAGG